UACGAGGGGUCCAAGCGUUGUUCGGAAUUCUGGGCGUAAAGCGGGUGUAGGUGGACUGAUCAGCGGAUGUGAAAAGCCCUGGGCUCAACCCAGGAAGUGCAUCCGAUACUGUCAGUCUUGAGUACUGGAGAGGGAAGUGGAAUUCCUGGUGUAGCGGUGAAAUGCGUAGAUAUCAGGAGGAACAUCGGUGGCGAAGGCGGCUUCCUGGCCAUGUACUGACACUCAGACCCGAAAGCGUGGGUAGCAAACAGGAUUAGAUACCCGUAGUCC
rnacentral:rRNA from 1 species